AUGGAGCAACCUUAAUCAUGCACAAUUUUAUUUUAUUUUAUUUUUUAGUAAAGGCACUUUAUCUAGUUUCUCUGCCUAUAUAUUUUCAUCUAGAAUAUAACUGUGGUUUGCAUGAUGGUGCUUAAAGGAUUAUUCAUUCUUAAAACAUAAAGAUAACCGUGUAGAGCAUGGAUUUUUAUUUCAUUGAACAACUGUGAUCCAUUUACAAUGUAUCUAAAGAAUUUUGAGUUUAAUAGAUCAUGUUUAACACGGUAACACCUCCUUCUAGGGUUUGGUAACUGUAAAAUUAGGAUUUGAGUUUAAUAGAUCAUGUUUAACACGGUAACACCUCCUUCUAGGGUUUGGUAACUGUAAAAUUAGGAUCAAGGGAUUGUCCCCUGAGGUGAUUGGUAACUAUAAAAGGUUAAUUUAGAGGGAAAAAGGAAAUGACAGCAGGUUCAAUAUGAAGAUCCUUGUUUUGACUUGUUUGAUCUGUCGGUGAAGUCUUGCAAUGACAUAUUACAAGACUAUAGAGACACAAGUUUAUAUUUAAAUCUAAGAAAUUCACUUGGCCUGUAAUCUUCAUCAUCAUUUUCUCGUGCAAACAUCUUGGAAGUCCAUUUAUAGGGAUAAGCAGCUUAAAUCUUAUAGAAGGUCCAGAGAAAGGCAAAACACUCUAGUCCAGGACCAUGCUGGCAGGGAAGAUUUCUCAAGUGGUCCACACGGCAAGAGUGUCUCUGUGGAUCACACUGAUGCGAGUGCAUGUAUGAGUAUGGGGACUGGUUUAACAGUUGAAUUGGAUUUUAUUUUUGAAAAUUUCUGUUAUUUCCUUGAAGCCUAGUACUUAAUUUUUCUCUCAGAUUAAUGAUGUUUGUUCUGAUGCCAGCUUUAUGGGUUCUCUGCUGCUUCCAAAUACGAUUAAAGAUACAAUUGCUGCAUCUGUACUUAAUGAUCUACAGCCACUACCUAUUGGCUCUCACCAUUAGGGCUCUAGUUUUCAUCCCUUACCUUAAUGCGUCCAUCCAUAAAAAUUCUUUAAAAGGAACAAAACAUAUGUAUUUAUUGGAACUGUAUAUCAUGAAGAGUUCAGACUUCUUACUUUCAUAUCUGGGACAAACUUAGACUUGAUAACUUAGUCAGAUAGGACAUUUUACCCACACUGCUUCCUGUGUGGUUUCCAAACUCCACGUAGAAAGUGAAUGGACUUCCCAGUUGAACUGAUACUUGACAAACUCAAAGAACACAAGGCUGAAAUUUAGAACAAAGGCAUAUGUACACCAUGAUGAAGAAUAUUUCAGUUUGUAACAUGCAACAACCAUUAGGUUUUGGUGAUGGUAGUGGGUUAUCGGCUCAGCAGUUGAUUUGGUCAACAAGCAAGCCAUCCUAAUUCCACAGGGAAUUCUGUAGCCACAGGGAUGUGGCCUUUGAUGAAAUUGAGGAGCGUAGUAUCAGAGUUAUUCAUCAUAUUCUCUGCAUAAAAUUGAAAAGGUUGAUGAUGUAGAGCUAAUGAUGGACUGCAAGAUAGAGCCAACCUACAGAAAACAGUAAAUAUAGGUUUCUCUGUUUUACUAUUAUUAUCUGCUUGUAAUUUGUGUGCUAAGGUUUCCCUCUAAGUGCUUUUUGUGUCAAAAAAAGGGACUUCCAUAGCCAUAGAGCUGUUUCCUUUGAUGGAAUCAAGGAGGGUAGUAUCAGGGUUUCCUUGUCAUACUCCUGGCAUGGCGAUGAUAGAGCCUAUUGGUGGACUGCAAGAUAGAGCCAAUGAGCCAAUCCAUUGAAGACAGGAAAUGAGGUGGACGAAUCAAGGAAAUCCUAUCUGGAACUGUGCAUACAUUCAAAAGGGCAAAUAGAUAAUGCCGCCUCUUUUGUCCUGCUAUCAUUUCUUUCUAUAAUAACUGCUCCAUUUCUGAGUAUGUUAUUGCUGUAGAUUUUCUAAACCAACUCAAGCCAGAGAAGGUUUUCAGUUGUGGCAUCUUUUGUCAUUAUCUUCCUAAUCAUAUACUAUCUGACCAGGUGAUCAGUCUGAUUUACGUUUGCUAACUUUGCUGGACUUGAAGUAUUCAUCCUUUCAUACA